GCCCCCAGUGCUUUCCCCGCCCGGCAAAGCAGCCCCCCCCGAGGCCAGGGGGAAGCCGGCAGGAGGACCCCCCGCUGCCGGGGAGGCCGCCCCAGAGAGCCAAGGCAAGGCGGAGAAGUAGCAGCCUCUGAGCAGGGGACGCCAACCUGGGCGCGCUGCAAGAGGCCCCAGCCCAGUGGGGGGAGCAGGCACCAGGGACAUGCCCCCCCAAACUUUAGUGGCAUUUUAGUCUUUUCCUGUAGCUCCGAGGGGGCUGGGCAGGAGGCAGGACCCUGGCGCAGGGACUGGGGCUCAUCUCAGCCACCCUGGCCCCAUAGAAAUGCCCCCUCUAGUAUAGCACAAAGGCCCAGCCGCUCCAGCCAGGGACCGUGGGACUUUGUCUGCAUCCUCCAUUAAAGCAGUUUGACAAACUA